AGUGAGACUGACUGCGUCGGGGUUGAGACUGGGUGGAUGAGGCUCACCCCGGCGGGGAGAAGGGACGAGGAGGGGCGGACAGCGGAAGGUCCGGGAGUGUCCGCCAUAAAGUCGUUUGAGGUGACCGUUGCGUAAUUGUGAGUCUGUGAGAGAAGAUGUGAAGUAUGGCCUCGUCCCGGUCAUCUGGGCGUGCGGGUCCCGGGUUUUGAUCGCGCGUUUGUGUAGUUUUAACUUCUAGUCAUGGCGAAUGAUCGCAGGAGAGCACAGACUGGACCCUGCUACGAUCUCUCUUGGAGUGGAUCAGACUGAUGAUCACCAACAACCAACUCAUUCCCGGAUAAGGAAGAAGAGAGUGUCACCUACUUCAGUGUGGUUUCAACCCUACUUCUGCAUCUUAAAGACACUUGUACAACGUUGGACACUGUGCAGGAUGAUGCCACUUCAUCUUGGAUGCUAAUCUGCCAUGUUGACUUCUGAUUAACCCCAGGCCCAGGAAUGCCUCAAGAUUUCUACUUUACUUACUGUUGCUUGUGUAAGCCAAGACAACCUUGAUGUUAUCAUAAACAUGUACUUACCUAAGUCCUGUCCUUUGGCAAAUUAUGGGCUAUGAGACACAGCAUUCUUGCCUUUCCCUGAGGGGUCAAUUUCAGCGAUCCUACACAUUCCUUCUGAAGCA
rnacentral:lncRNA from 1 species